AUAGCGCAAUGGAUAGUGCGUUGAAUUUCUCAUACUAAUUCGUGGGUUCGAAUCCCACCUGGAAUA